AUUGAACGCUGGCGGCCGGCAUAACACAUGCAAGUCGAACUAGUGGCGGACUGGUGAGUAAUGUCUUGGAAACUACCUUAUGGAGGGGGAUAACUACUGGAAACGGUAGAUAAUACCGCGUACCAUCAGAUGAGCCCACGUGGGAUUAGCUUGUUGUGGAGGUAAAGCCUCACCACGGCGCCGAUCCCUAGCGGGUCUGAGAGGAUGACCAGCCACACUGGAACUGAGACACGGCCCAGACUCCUACGGGAGGCAGCAGUGGGGAAUAUUGCGCAAUGGGCGCAACCCGGACGCAGCCAUGCCGCGUGUAUGAAGAAGGCAUUCGGGUUGUAAAGUUCUUUCGGUAGCGAGGCGUUAACUGCAGAAGAAGCACCGGCUAACUCCGUGCCAGCAGCCGCGGUAAUAC
rnacentral:rRNA from 1 species